rnacentral:tRNA from 1 species
ACUGAGUUAGUUUAAAUUUUAAAAUUGAAUGUUUGGGACAUUUUGAUUAUUUUCAGUU